UACGUAGGGUGCAAGCAUUAAUCGGAAUUAUUGGGCGUAAAGGGCGCGUAGGCGGAUUGAUAAGUCAGAUGUGAAAUACCAAAGCUCAACUUUGGUGCUGCAUUUGAAACUGUCUCUCUAGAGGAUUGACGGAGAAAGCGGAAUUCCACGUGUAGCGGUGAAAUGCGUAGAUACGUGGAGGAACACCGGUGGCGAAGGCGGCUUUCUAGUUUAUACCUGACGCUGAGGCGCGAGAGCAAGGGGGAGCAAACAGG
rnacentral:rRNA from 1 species